rnacentral:rRNA from 1 species
UGGGGAAUAUUGCGCAAUGGGGGGAACCCUGACGCAGCCAUGCCGCGUGAAUGAAGAAGGCCUUAGGGUUGUAAAGUUCUUUCGGUAUUGAGGAAGGCUGAUGUGUUAAUAGCACAUCAAAUUGACGUUAAAUACAGAAGAAGCACCGGCUAACUCCGUGCCAGCAGCCGCGGUAAUACGGAGGGUGCGAGCGUUAAUCGGAAUAACUGGGCGUAAAGGGCACGCAGGCGGUUAUUUAAGUGAGGUGUGAAAGCCCCGGGCUUAACCUGGGAAUUGCAUUUCAGACUGGGUAACUAGAGUACUUUAGGGAGGGGUAGAAUUCCACGUGUAGCGGUGAAAUGCGUAGAGAUGUGGAGGAAUACCGAAGGCGAAGGCAGCCCCUUGGGAAUGUACUGACGCUCAUGUGCGAAAGCGUGGGGAGCNAACAGGAUUAGAUACCCUGGUAGUCCACGCUGUAAACGCUGUCGAUUUGGGGGGUGGGGUUUAACUCUGGCGCCCGUAGCUAACGUGAUAAAUCGACCGCCUGGGGAGUACGGCCGCANGGUUA